rnacentral:tRNA from 1 species
GCGCGAUUAGCUCAGAUGGCAGAGCGCUUGCUCGACACGCAAGAGGUCGUUGGUUCAAGUCCAAUAUCGCGCACCA